rnacentral:rRNA from 1 species
UGGGGAAUCUUGCGCAAUGGCCGAAAGGCCGACGCAGCGACGCCGCGUGUGGGAGGACGCCUUUCGGGGUGUAAACCACUGUUGCCCGGGACGAACAGCGGCUUUCGAGCCGCCUGACGGUACCGGGUGAGGAAGCACCGGCUAACUCCGUGCCAGCAGCCGCGGUAAUACGGAGGGUGCGAGCGUUGUCCGGAAUCAUUGGGCGUAAAGGGCGCGUAGGUGGCGGGACAAGCGUGCGGUGAAAGCUCGGGGCUCAACCCCGAGUCGGCCGUGCGAACUGUUUUGCUUGAGCACUGUAGAGGCAGGCGGAAUUCCGGGUGUAGCGGUGGAAUGCGUAGAGAUCCGGAAGAACACCGGUGGCGAAGGCGGCCUGCUGGGCAGUAGCUGACACUGAGGCGCGACAGCGUGGGGAGCAAACAGG